GGCACAGCUUAGUGGCAGAGCAUCUGCUUUGUAUGCACAAUGCCCCUGGUUCAAUUCUUGGCAUCUCCA